rnacentral:rRNA from 1 species
AGGGAUUGCCUUAGUAACGGCGAGUGAAGCGGCAAUAGCUCAAAUUUGAAAGCUGGCCCCUUCGGGGUCCGCGUUGUAAUUUGUAGAGGAUGAUUCGGCGAGGGCUCCCGUCUAAGUCCCUUGGAACAGGGCGUCAUAGAGGGUGAGAAUCCCGUAUGUGAUGGGCUGCCUUAGCCAUGUGAAUCUCCUUCGACGAGUCGAGUUGUUUGGGAAUGCAGCUCUAAAUGGGAGGUAAAUUUCUUCUAAAGCUAAAUACCGGCCAGAGACCGAUAGCGCACAAGUAGAGUGAUCGAAAGAUGAAAAGCACUUUGGAAAGAGAGUUAAAAAGUACGUGAAAUUGUUGAAAGGGAAGCGCUUGCAGCCAGACUUGUCCGCAGUUGCUCAGCUUGUCUCCUGACAGGCGUACUCUUCUGCGGCCAGGCCAGCAUCAGUUCGGGCGGUCGGAUAAAGACCUGGGGAAUGUAGCUCCUCUCGGGGAGUGUUAUAGCCCUGGGUGCAAUGCGGCCAGCCUGGACUGAGGAUCUCGCUUCGGCUAGGAUGCUGGCGUAAUGGCUGUAAGCGGCCCGUCUUGAAACACGGACCAAGGAGUCUAACAUCUAUGCGAGUGUUUGGGUGUCAAACCCAUGCGCGUAAUGAAAGUGAACGGAGGUGGGAACCCUCACGGGUGCACCAUCGACCGAUCCUGAUGUCUUCGGAUGGAUUUGAGUAAGAGCAUAGCUGUUGGGACCCGAAAGAUGGUGAACUAUGCCUGAAUAGGGUGAAGCCAGAGGAAACUCUGGUGGAGGCUCGCAGCGGUUCUGACGUGCAAAUCGAUCGUCAAAUUUGGGUAUAGGGGCGAAAGAC